UAUUGGACAAUGGGCGAAAGCCUGAUCCAGCCAUGCCGCGUGUGUGAAGAAGGCCUUCGGAUUGUAAAGCACUUUAAGUUGGGAGGAAGGGUUGUAGGUUAAUACCCUGCAAUUUUGACGUUACCAACAGAAUAAGCACCGGCUAACUUCGUGCCAGCAGCCGCGGUAAUACGAAGGGUGCAAGCGUUAAUCGGAAUUACUGGGCGUAAAGCGCGCGUAGGUGGUUCGUUAAGUUGGAAGUGAAAGCCCCGGGCUUAACCUGGGAAUUGCUUUCAAAACUGACGAGCUAGAGUACGGUAGAGGGUAGUGGAAUUUCCUGUGUAGCGGUGAAAUGCGUAGAUAUAGGAAGGAACACCAGUGGCGAAGGCGACUACCUGGACGAAAACUGACGCUGAUGCACGAAAGCUAGGGGAGCAAACA
rnacentral:rRNA from 1 species